GAGUUCUUCUGAGGUGUGCUGGGAGGAGGACUCACUUCACUGUUUGUGGUGAUGAGUGUGAGGGUGGGACGGGUGAAGUGACUGAAGUGAGGCGUCGCAGUGAGGUGACUGAAGUGAAGUGAAGUGAGGAAGGUAAAGGUGGCCUGAAAAAGAUGUCCGCCUUCACUGGCCACACGUCACGGAAAGUCCCGCGGAGGUACCAAGAGUGACGGGCUUUUCUGAAGGUGACACUGGUGCCUUCAACAGUGGUGCCAAUUUGAGCUUACCUGAGGGAGUAGUGGGAGUCGGUCAUCAGCUUGCCAAAAGUGGUGUAAUCACCCCGCUUCAGCACCUCCACCGCCUGCUGUGUGCGGCCGAUCUCUGAUAUGACAUGCCGUGCUCUCCGGAAUGCCUCCUCACUCAGGGACGACUUGUGCUCUGGCAAAAGGUCAGUUGAGCCUCACACCUGCAGUCAAUGAGCAGAGCAUUGCCUUGCUUGCCCAUGGUGGAGAUAAACUGGUCCAUGAUUCCACACGGCAUGUUGGCAAAGUCAUGCUCCGCCCUCUGACACGCCAGGGCCUUCUCCC